CAAAUAAAAGUAUUAAGCAUAACAAUACUUACAAGUACACGAGUUUUUGGUGGCUUUUUCUAUUUAUAAUUUUUCUUCAAGUAAAUUCUAUACAUUAUUUUAAAAUCGGGAUUGUAUGAUUGGGUCGGGUAACGAGCGACACAUAUGAGACAUGUGAUUGAUCUAAUGGUUGACAAAGAUCGAAAGCUAUACCGUGAAUUCGGCAUGUUAAAGUCAUGUAAUCUCGAUCCUGUAUUUUAU
rnacentral:lncRNA from 1 species